CCUCUUUAACAGCUCCCCAUGAAAUAAUCAUUCAUUAUGUCACCAGGAGGGAAGAAAGAGAGUAUUUUGUGAAGCUGUCCCAUUCAAAGCCACCCCCAGAGGCCCGGAGGAGACCACAAGGCUGCGAACACAGCCGGGACCUGCCCACUGACACACUGAAGAGUCAACAUGAUUCAGGAAAGCACUUUCAAAGAGUGUUUUUUCUUGGACAGAUAACAUUCCGUUUUGUAUCUGAGAGGCAAGGACAAUCUCUAGUUCGAUUGUAAAACUAUUUCCUUCAAAUGUACAUUUUUAUCUA